rnacentral:rRNA from 1 species
AGUGAACGCUGGCGGUAUGCCUAACACAUGCAAGUCGAACGGCAGCACAGUAAGAUCUUGCUCUUACCGGUGGCGAGUGGCGGACGGGUGAGGAAUACAUCGGAUUCUUCUAUUUCUUGGGUGACAACGUAGGGACACUUACGCUAAUACCGCAUAUGACCUACGGGAUAGAGCAGUGGAUCUUGAGACCUUUCGCGAUAGUAUUAGCCGACGUCGGAUUAGCUAGUUGGCUAGGUAAGGGCACACCAAGGCGACGAUACGUAGCCGGUCUGAGAGGAUGAUCAGCCACACUGGAACUGAGACACGGUCCAGACUCCUACGGGAGGCAGCAGUAGGGAAUAUUCCGCAAUGGGCGCAAGCUUGACCCAGCAACACCGCGUGGGUGAUGAAGGCCUUCGGGUCGUAAAGCUCUGUUAUUGGGGAAGAAAAAAAGCAGGAUAAUCUACGGAUGUCUUGACGGUACCCAAAGAAUAAGCACCGGCUAACUUCGUG